rnacentral:rRNA from 1 species
GGCCUAACACAUGCAAGUCGAACGCUCUAGCAAUAGAGAGUGGCGCACGGGUGCGUAACGCGUGGGAAUAUGCCCUUGACUACGGAACAACAUCGGGAAACUGAUGCUAAUACCGUAUAAUGUCUUCGGACCAAAGAUUUAUCGGUCAAGGAUUAGCCCGCGUUAGAUUAGCUAGUUGGUGAGGUAAUGGCUCACCAAGGCGACGAUCUAUAGCUGGUCUGAGAGGAUGAUCAGCCACACUGGGACUGAGACACGGCCCAGACUCCUACGGGAGGCAGCAGUGAGGAAUAUUGGACAAUGGGCGCAAGCCUGAUCCAGCUAUGCCGCGUGAGUGAUGAAGGCCUUCGGGUUGUAAAGCUCUUUCAGAUGCGAAGAUAAUGACGGUAACAUCAGAAGAAGCCCCGGCUAAAUUCGUGCCAGCAGCCGCGGUAAUACGAAUGGGGCAAGCGUUGUUCGGAAUCACUGGGCUUAAAGCGUGCGCAGGCGGUCAUGAAAGUCAGAAGUGAAAUCCCAGGGCUUAACCCUGGAAUUGCUUUUGAAACUCCAUGACUAGAAUUCCGGAGAGGUUAGCAGAAUUCCGAGUGUAGAGGUGAAAUUCGCAGAUAUUCGGAGGAAUACCAAUGGCGAAGGCAGCUAACUGGACGGGCAUUGACGCUCAGGCACGAAAGCGUGGGUAGCAAACAGGAUUAGAUACCCUGGUAGUCCACGCCGUANACGAUGUGUGCUCGUUGUUGGAAUCUUAGAUUCCAGUAACAAAGCGAAAGUGAUUAGCACACCGCCUGGGGAGUACGGUCGCAAGAUUAAAACUCAAAGGAAUUGACGGGGACCCGCACAAGCGGU